UACAGAGGUGGCAAGCGUUGUUCGGAUUUACUGGGCGUAAAGAGCGCGCAGGCGGUCGAUCAAGUCGAGUGUGAAAGCCCCCGGCUCAACUGGGGAGGGUCAUUCGAUACUGAUCGACUCGAAGGCAGGAGAGGGUAGUGGAAUUCCCGGUGUAGUGGUGAAAUGCGUAGAUAUCGGGAGGAACACCAGUGGCGAAGGCGACUACCUGGCCUGUUCUUGACGCUGAGGCGCGAAAGCUAGGGGAGCAAACGGG
rnacentral:rRNA from 1 species